AGUGAACGCUGGCGGUAGGCCUAACACGUGCAAGUCGAACGGCAGCACAGUAAGAGCUUGCUCUUACGGGUGGCGAGUGGCGGACGGGUGAGGAAUACAUCGGAAUCUACUUUUUCGUGGGGGAUAACGUAGGGAAACUUACGCUAAUACCGCAUACGACCUACGGGUGAAAGCAGGGGAUCUUCGGACCUUGCGCGAUUGAAUGAGCCGAUGUCGGAUUAGCUAGUUGGCGGGGUAAAGGCCCACCAAGGCGACGAUCCGUAGCUGGUCUGAGAGGAUGAUCAGCCACACUGGAACUGAGACACGGUCCAGACUCCUACGGGAGGCAGCAGUGGGGAAUAUUGGACAAUGGGCGCAAGCCUGAUCCAGCCAUACCGCGUGGGUGAAGAAGGCCCUCGGGUUGUAAAGCCCUUUUGUUGGGAAAGAAAAGCAGCAGGUUAAUACCCCGCUGUUCUGACGGUACCCAAAGAAUAAGCACCGGCUAACUUCGUG
rnacentral:rRNA from 1 species